rnacentral:sRNA from 1 species
CUGAUCGCGCUGGAGACUGAUCCACAUAACAAGUAAAGCGUGAAUAAUGGUGGUGCUCCCUUCCUCACCACUAUGCCUGGAGAAACCUCUGCUGGAGUGAGAAGGUAGUUCAAGCUCCAAGGCUCAUUCAGUCUUUGGUCUGU